CAGUGUUUAUUGCUGUAUUUAGAUAAUGGCUAGCGCAUUAUGAUUUUAAAAUAAUGAGUGUACGCAUGCAGUCCGAGUUUAGUAAAAGCUCUGAAAAACAGAACUGUUUUUCUUUACGCAACCAGACUGCUUGAUAGUAUGAACAUAUAAUACCUGAGCUUAUAGAAUUUACAUGAAGCGAAAAUUAAGAGAAUUUUGAAGUAGAAGCUAUUAUCAGGUGUUUAGGAAUUUUACUGGCGAAAUCAAAGUGCUGGAAAAGCAAAUACUGGAAGCAAUUACUGCUAAUUUGUAUUGG